UAAGGUGGUAGGCUGAAAUCUUAGGUAAAUCCGGGGUUUCAAGGCCGAGAGCUGAUGACGAGUCGUCUUUUAGAUGACGAAGUGGUUGAUGCCAUGCUUCCAAGAAAAGCUUCUAAGCUUCAGGUAAUCAGGAACCGUACCCCAAACCGACACAGGUGGUCGGGUAGAGAAUACCAAGGCGCUUGAGAGAACUCGGGUGAAGGAACUAGGCAAAAUGGCACCGUAACUUCGGGAGAAGGUGCGCCGGCUAGGGUG
rnacentral:rRNA from 1 species